AGCGAACGCUGGCGGCAGGCUUAACACAUGCAAGUCGAGCGCCCCGCAAGGGGAGCGGCAGACGGGAGAGUAACACGUGGGGACAUACCUUUUGGUUCGGAACAACUGAGGGAAACUUCAGCUAAUACCGGAUAAGCCCUUACGGGGAAAGAUUUAUCGCCGAAAGAUUGGCCCGCGUCUGAUUAGCUAGUUGGUGAGGUAACGGCUCACCAAGGCGACGAUCAGUAGCUGGUCUGAGAGGAUGAUCAGCCUCACUGGGACUGAGACACGGCCCAGACUCCUACGGGAGGCAGCAGUGGGGAAUAUUGGACAAUGGGGGCAACCCUGAUCCAGCCAUGCCGCGUGAGUGAUGAAGGCCUUAGGGUUGUAAAGCUCUUUUGCCCGGGAAGAUAAUGACGGUACCGGGAGAAUAAGCCCCGGCUAACUUCGUG
rnacentral:rRNA from 1 species